rnacentral:rRNA from 1 species
AACGAACGCUGGCGGCAGGCUUAACACAUGCAAGUCGAGCGCCCCGCAAGGGGAGCGGCAGACGGGUGAGUAACGCGUGGGAAUCUACCCAUCUCUACGGAAUAACGCAUGGAAACGUGUGCUAAUACCGUAUACGUCCUUCGGGAGAAAGAUUUAUCGGAGAUGGAUGAGCCCGCGUUGGAUUAGCUAGUUGGUGGGGUAAAGGCCUACCAAGGCGACGAUCCAUAGCUGGUCUGAGAGGAUGAUCAGCCACACUGGGACUGAGACACGGCCCAGACUCCUACGGGAGGCAGCAGUGGGGAAUAUUGGACAAUGGGCGCAAGCCUGAUCCAGCCAUGCCGCGUGAGUGAUGAAGGCCCUAGGGUUGUAAAGCUCUUUCGCCAGGGACGAUAACGACGGUACCUGGAUAAGAAGCCCCGGCUAACUUCGUGCCAGCCGCCGCCGUAACAC